rnacentral:rRNA from 11 species
GACUACGGCUGUACUACCUUGAACAAGCCUGAUCUCAUCUGAUCUCGGAAGCUAAGCAGGGUCAGUCCUGGUUAGUACUUGGAUUAGUCCACUGACCAUAUUAGCAAUAAAAAGAAGAAACAAAAACACAGUGUGCA